UCUCCUCACGUCCUGUCAUCACUUGACUUCCCAGCCGGAUCUCAAAUUGUACUUCAUCUCUGGAACAUGCUUGGAAUGCAAACAGGAAGAGAAGGAAAACAGGUUAUGGAGAUUUUGUAAGAGGUCUAACUUAUGUACCAAUGGAGGGAACUCUGGAAACUGAGCAGCCUACCACCAGUUGUGGGUACAUCAUGUGAGUUACAAGGUCCCCUGGGAGAAAAGGGCCUAGUCUACUUUUGGACUCACAAGUCUCGAGGACUGUAAUUCUCAAACUAAGAGAACAUAACGAUGUGGACAAAAAGACGGAUACUGUGGGACUAGGACUUUCCACAAAGUCACACACGGCACU